ACAAUCUUCCAAGCAAGAUUUGGCGCAAUCUUCCUUACUAACGUUCGCCUUACCGUCUGCCUCCCUCAGUACGGUGGUGACGUCACUCAAUUCCACCAUAUCCACUUCCUCUUCCUUCUCCCCUCCUUCGCAAAACCCUAACCCUAAACUCGCCUGCCCCUCGCUGCAGCCUAAAUCCUUGUUCGAGAGCCGGAUGCAGGAGCAGGAAUCGGAGGAGGAUGUGCAUAUGCCGUAAGGCUUACAAGCCGAAGGAAGAUCGCAAGUCGUGGUCAGCGAUUGGAAUGCUGCCGAGAACUUCCUUUCCUCCGGUGAGUAGAAAUAGAGUCCCAAGUUUCCGGUUCGAUUCGAUAGUGAUAAAAACCGGAGAGGCUCGACCCUGUCCGACUGGAUUUGGGCGAUUUUCUGGUUCUCGUCGUCGUAGAGCUCUAGUGCCUUUGAAGCCAGCUUGAUGAAGUUGAUGUUUCGGUUCUUUGUAGGCUUGAAUUCCCAGUAGGAAUAGUUCAAUUUUCCUGAAAUCAAAUGCAGAGCUAUCCUGUUCCGGUGAAUUUCGAACGUGUAGUAGAAUGCGGUUGAAUUGGAUGCGGCUGCGACGGUGGCGGUUGAAGGAAAAGAAGCCAAUCGGGUGGCGACGUUCAGCCUAUGCCCCCACAAGAUUACAUCCGUUGGGAAGUUGAAGCUCUGCCAUUUGACUCUGCCGAUUG
rnacentral:lncRNA from 1 species